rnacentral:tRNA from 1 species
GUUAGUUCAGAUGGUAGAGCGCUUCACUGAAAAUGUAGAGGUCCCUAGUUCAAUACCAGGAC